UUAACGUUUCUGAUGAGAUUUUCCUUUUCGUUUCUGUGCUCUUUAAAAAUAGAUAUCUUAUUGACAAGUAGUAAUGACAAGUUUUGUUGUUGUUGUGCAUAAUACAUCUUGUUUCUUAUUAAAAAAAUGAUAACGAGGCUUUUUGACGUUGGGCUUGAGAGAGUUUAUCUGGUACCACUUGGACUUCUAUUGUGGGUACAUGUGUCAUUUGAGCUAUGCGUUUUUUUUUUCGUUACUGAAGGUAACUAUGUAAUUAGUUCUGAAAUGAGGUGCAAGCUUUGAAACUUCAAAAUUGUAGUAAGAUUUUGUUGAUUUGACUUCUUUAGGUUUGAAAUUAGUUUGUUAGCGUUUUUUAGGUUUCAAAUUAGUUAGUUAUCCUUCAAAUUAUCCUUGGUAUUGAAAAGUUAUGAAUAAUGUCUGUUUCUUAUUGUCGAAUAUGUAUGUGGUAUAAUUUUUAUUCAAUGAGAUGUCGAUCUUUUGAAGGAUUGAAUAUAUUUCUCUUGUAUGUUUCUUAUAUUAAUAUAUGAAUCAAGUCAUUAUGUGUGAUAUAUAUGUAUCCUCACAAAGCACGAACAGUAAUGAUCAUAUUCAUAGAUGUUCCUUGGAGUGAACUCAAAUAGAGGCAUUAAAAUAUGUUUAUGAUAAGAGACAAUUUCAUUGAUGAUUGAGAUUUACAAAAGGGAUUUAAUAUCCAUGGUGUUUACAAAACACCUUCUCGAUUUGAAAUGAGGGAGGUAUAAGUGUAGGAAGUAAAAUAUUAGACCGUUUACACCAAGAUAUAGCUUAGUAAACAACAUUAUCGAAAAUUUUUGUAUAAGUAUGUGUCUUUUCUGCAAAUAUUCUUUGAUUCAUUUCUUUCACAGAUUCCAAAAUAAAGCCAUGAUGAGGUUUUUCCCUAGUAGGGCUUUUGCAUUCUAGAAAGGGUGGUACGUAAAGGCUAUGUCCAAUACAUCCUUUACCUCCCUAGAAAAUGUGAUAUGCCACUUGAAUAUAUUGAGAAACGUUGUCCAAAAAUUCUGAGCGUAUGUGCAUUGCAUAAAUAAUUGGCUUUGUGAUUCAUUUUUUUCUUGCACAAUGGACACCCAUUUGGAAAAAGGUAAAGGCUAUGUCCAAUACAUCCUUUACCUCCCUAGAAAAUGUGAUAUGCCACUUGAAUAUAUUGAGAAACGUUGUCCAAAAAUUCUGAGCGUAUGUGCAUUGCAUAAAUAAUUGGCUUUGUGAUUCAUUUUUUUCUUGCACAAUGGACACCCAUUUGGAAAAAGAGUGAUGUAAGACCUUUUUUGAAGAUUUUCACUUGUGUUAAUGCCUUUAUGCGCUAUUUUCCAAAGGAAAAACUUCACCUUUUUAGGGUGAUGUCCUUUCUAUACCGUCUUUGCGAGCGUGAGAUUUGUUGCUUCUACUUUUUUCCCAUGUCCAUCAUUAAGGAUUUUGUAGAGAAGACCCCGUCAACACCGGGAAGCCAAGUCAGUGAGUCUGCUUCAUUUGAAAAUACCACAGGGCAAGGUCAAGGAUUAAUUCAGCCCAUUUCGUUGCUUCGUUAUCCUUUAAAUUCCUACCAAGCUUCAGGUUCCAAAAUUUGUUGAGAACAUUCCACGUUUCUUUGAUCAUGGCUUUUUUGCUAUGAGAGAGAGUGGAUACCGCAGGGCUAGCAUGGUGUUUUCAUCCAUGGGUAGGUCCAAAAUGAUGCACUUCCUUCAUCACCCACCCUAUGACAAGUGAAUGAGGUUUUGAUGUUUCUUUACUUACUUCCAAGGCCCUUUUGUAGAAGAUGGAGGGGGUUAAUUUUUGUUUGAUGUAGGAGUAUAUUUGGCCUUAUAAGAUUUCUCCACAAGGCCUUUUCUUUUUGAUGAUAUCUCCAUCCAUUGAGGAGAGCUUUGUUCUUCUUCUUUAUAGAGAAAAGACCAAGGCCUCCCUUUUUUGGUGGGAGGUUUAUAAUAUUCCAUCGAACAAGGUGUGGGCCAUCUUUCCACAAGUAGUUUAUGAAUAUUCUUUCUAUAUCCUUGGCCACUUUUUGUGGCAUUUCAAAUAGAGACAUGUAGUAACCGAGGAGGUUGGAUAAUGUGACUUGUAUUAGGGUCCGUCUUUCCGCCUUUUGAAGUAUACUAUGAUGACCAUGUUGACAGCCUUCUUUCUAUUUUUUCAAUAAUAGUCUUCCAGAAGG